rnacentral:rRNA from 1 species
GACGAACGCUGGCGGCGUGCCUAAUACAUGCAAGUCGAACGAGAGCGACCGGUGCUUGCACUGGUCAAUCUAGUGGCGAACGGGUGAGUAACACGUGGGUAACCUGCCCAUCAGAGGGGGAUAACAUCCGGAAACGGAUGCUAAAACCGCAUAGGUCUUCGAACCGCAUGGUUUGAAGAGGAAAAGAGGCGCAAGCUUCUGCUGAUGGAUGGACCCGCGGUGCAUUAGCUAGUUGGUGAGGUAACGGCUCACCAAGGCCGUGAUGCAUAGCCGACCUGAGAGGGUGAUCGGCCACAUUGGGACUGAGACACGGCCCAAACUCCUACGGGAGGCAGCAGUAGGGAAUCUUCCGCAAUGGACGCAAGUCUGACGGAGCAACGCCGCGUGAGUGAAGAAGGUUUUCGGAUCGUAAAACUCUGUUGUUAGAGAAGAACAAGUGCUAGAGUAACUGUUAGCGCCUUGACG